UCACACAGACUGACAGUGACUCUGGUCUCUAAGUUCAUGUUGCUCACGAUACAAUAAUGAUCACAGCUGGUCUGAUCAAACUCUCUGCAGCCGCUCUGCUCUGGAUUGUAGGUCAAAGCGAUGGGAGUGAUGUCACCCAGACUCCUCUGCUGUGGAAGGACAAGGGUCAGUCUGCCACCAUGAACUGCAGUCACACUAAGGAGAGUUCAUAUCGGCAGAUGUACUGGUACAGACAGCUGCCAGGGGAGGGAAUGAAGCAAAUCGUUUUUACAACUGCAUACAGCAAGCACGAAUAUGAGAGUGGCUUCAGUGAGGACAAAUUUCCAGCAACAAAGAACGAUUCUCAGACUGGAUCUCUGACAGUGAAGAAGCUGCUGCCUGAGGACAGUGGAGUGUAUUUCUGUGCUGUGAGUCAACACAGUGAUUCAGGUGACUUAGACAGCUGUACAAAAACCCAGCUGUUGGCAAUGAACAGAUGA